rnacentral:rRNA from 1 species
UACGUAGGGACCAAGCGUUGUUCGGAUUUACUGGGCGUAAAGGGCGCGUAGGCGGCUUGACAAGUCACUUGUGAAAUCUCCGGGCUUAACUCGGAACGGCCAAGUGAAACUGUCAUGCUAGAGUGCAGAAGGGGCAAUCGGAAUUCUUGGUGUAGUGGUGAAAUACGUAGAUAUCAGGAGGAAUACCGGUGGCGAAGGCGGCUACCUGGCCCAACAUUGACACUGAGGCCCAAAAGCGUGGGGAUCAAACAGG